CGAAUGAGGAGAUUCAUCGUCAGCUUAUUCAGUAUUAAUGCAGGCUAUGAUGUGAUAAUAGAAUCCUUGUGGUCACUAGAUUAUACUUGCUUGUAUUAUUUUUGCUGGGUAUGUCGGCGUGCACUUCUCCUCUAGUAGAACGUCGCAACCCGUUGGAUGUUUAUCUAUGGCUUGAAUGGUAGCCUUUGAUAUUUUUUAUAUUGAAGACCUUCGAUGUCCUGAUAAACUGUUUGACGGUAUACAUAUGGUAUUGAGCCGCAAUUAUUUGCGUUAGACUUGCCGCAAGUAUGACUUUAUUCUAGUAGUGCGGAUCUAAUGCCGUCGCUGGACAAAGUCUGCUGUUAGCUGUGUAAUGUCUUUAAC
rnacentral:rRNA from 1 species